GAAGACGACGACGUUGAUAGGCUGGAUGUGGAAGUCAUGUGAGUGAUGAAGCUAGCCAGUACUAAUGACCCGAAAGCUUAACCAU
rnacentral:rRNA from 1 species